rnacentral:rRNA from 1 species
UACGUAGGGUGCAAGCGUUAAUCGGAAUUACUGGGCGUAAAGCGUGCGCAGGCGGUUUUGUAAGCCAGAUGUGAAAGCCCCGGGCUUAACCUGGGAAUGGCAUUUGGGACUGCAAGGCUUGAGUGCGGCAGAGGAGACUGGAAUUCCUGGUGUAGCAGUGAGAUGCGUAGAUAUCAGGAGGAACACCAAUGGCGAAGGCAGCUCGCUGGGACGGUACUGACGCUGAGACGCGAAAGCGUGGGGAGCAAACAGG